rnacentral:rRNA from 1 species
GUCCUGGCCGUAAACGUUGGGCACUAGGUGUUGGAGGCAUCGACCCCUCCAGUGCCGCAGCUAACGCAUUAAGUGCACCGCCUGGGGAGUACGGCCGCAAGGUUGAAACUCAAAGGAAUUGACGGGGGCCCGCACAAGCGGUGGAGCAUGUGGUUUAAUUCGACGCAACGCGAAGAACCUUACCCAGACUUGACAUGCACGGGACCGGUGUUGAAAUACACCUUCCCUUCGGGGCUCGUGCACAGAUGCUGCAUGGCUGUCGU